rnacentral:rRNA from 1 species
CAAGUCGAACGGUGACGGAGAGCUUGCGUCUCCUGAUCAGUGGCGAACGGGUGAGUAACACGUGGGCAACCUGCCCCAGACUUCGGGAUAACGCUUCGAAAGAGGUGCCUAAUACCGGAUACGGAACUCCUUGGGCAUCCUUGGAGUUGGAAAGUUUUUCGGUCUGGGAUGGGCCCGCGGCCUAUCAGCUUGUUGGUGAGGUAACGGCUCACCAAGGCGACGACGGGUAGCCGGCCUGAGAGGGCGACCGGCCACACUGGGACUGAGACACGGCCCAGACUCCUACGGGAGGCAGCAGUGGGGAAUAUUGCGCAAUGGGCGAAAGCCUGACGCAGCAACGCCGCGUGAGGGAUGACGGCCUUCGGGUUGUAAACCUCUUUCAGCAGGGAAGAAGCGAAAGUGACGGUACCUGCAGAAGAAGCACCGGCUAACUACGUG